UCCGUAGGUGAACCUGCGGAAGGAUCAUUAUUGAAACAUUGUAAAGGCAAGUUGAGCUGGCUCUUCACGAGCAAGUGCUCGCUUGUCUUUCAAUCUUCAUCCACCUGUGCACCUUUUGUAGAGAGACUGAGAAAACGGAGCCUAGCUCCUGAGUAUCGGGCUUUCUAUGUUUUUACACACUCUUAAAUGUAUGUUUUGAAUGUCUUUUACAAGGGACUUCAUUGGCCCUUUUAAAAACUAUACAACUUUCAGCAACGGAUCUCUUGGCUCUCGCAUCGAUGAAGAACGCAGCGAAAUGCGAUAAGUAAUGUGAAUUGCAGAAUUCAGUGAAUCAUCGAAUCUUUGAACGCACCUUGCGCCUCUUGGUAUUCCGAGAGGCAUGCCUGUUUGAGUGUCAUUAAAUUCUCAACUUCAAAAGCUUUUGCUUCUGAAGCUUGGAUGUGGAGGCUUUGCUGGCUUGUUACGAGUCGGCUCCUCUUAAAUGUAUUAGUGGAGACUUUUGUAGUCCGCAUUGGUGUGAUAAUUAUCUACGCUUUUGUGGCUACAAGUUUGUGGUAUCCGCUUCAAACCGUCCUAAGUCACUGGACAGCACUUGACUAUUUUGACCUCAAAUCAGGUAGGACUACCCGCUGAACUUAAGCAUAUCAAUAAGCGGAGGA
rnacentral:rRNA from 1 species